rnacentral:ncRNA from 1 species
UACCUGGUUGAUCCUGCCAGUAGUCAUAUGCUUGUCUCAAAGAUUAAGCCAUGCAAGUCUAAGUACGAGCUCUCGUACAGUGAAACUGCGAAUGGCUCAUUAAAUCAGUUAUGGUUCAUUUGAUCGUACAGUUUACUUGGAUAACUGUGGUAAUUCUAGAGCUAAUACAUGCGAGAAGCGCCGACCUCGCGGGAGGCGUGCAUUUAUCAGACCAAAAACCGGCCGCGUCUUCGGGCGCGUUCGCCUUGGUGACUCUGGAUAACUUUGCGGAUCGCACGGUCUACCACCGGCGACGGAUC